AUGACUGGAAGUUUCUGAUUAAGCACUGGACCUCUCCUGAAUUUGAAGCUCGAAGGGAAAUAUCGAAAGCUAAUCGUGCCAAGUUGGGGAUACAUCAUACCUCUGGAAGCAAGAGCUUUGCUGCUUAUAGGCAUGAAAUGAGUGUACAGCUAGGGAGACCGGUUCGAAGAGAUGAAGUCUAUAUUAGAACACAUACAAGGAAAACUGGAGUUCCAACCCAACAAGCAGUGCCAAUAAUUAACAAACUUAAAUCAAUUGCUGAAGCCCACCCAGAGUUGACAGAAAGAUCAAUUCAACAAGGUGAUGUUUUUG